CCUACGGGUGGCAGCAGUGAGGAAUAUUGGUCAAUGGCCGUAAGGCUGAACCAGCCAAGUCGCGUGAAGGAAGAAGGAUCUAUGGUUUGUAAACUUCUUUUAUAGGGGAAUAAAGGUAUCCACGUGUGGAUAUUUGCAUGUACCCUAUGAAUAAGAAUCGGCUAACUCCGUGCCAGCAGCCGCGGGAAUACGGAGGAUGCGAGCGUUAUCCGGAUUUAUUGGGUGUAAAGGGUGAGGAGGGUGUUGUUUAAGUCAGCGGGGAAAGUUUGUGGCUCAACCAUAAAACUGCCGUUGAAACUGGAAGACUUGAGUGUGUUUGAGGUAGGCGGAAUGCGUGGUGUAGCGGUGAAAUGCAUAGAUAUCACGCAGAACUCCGAUUGCGAAGGCAGCUUACUAAGCCAUAACUGACACUGAAGCACGAAAGCGUGGGUAUCAAACAGGAUUAGAUACCCGAGUAGUC
rnacentral:rRNA from 1 species